CUUCAAAGUUCUUUUUAGAGCACUAUGCAAAGAAAGAGAAAGAAAUUCUCCACUCUAUGUGUGAACAUAUCUGCUAUUAAUGCUGAGGGGAGUUAAGUGUCUGCUUCUACAGAAGAAUUCACCCCAGUGUUCUAUACUGAAAGGACACUUCAAAAGAGCAGUGCCCACAUAAGAAACAGCAAACUGCUCUUCAGAGGCAAUAUCCUGAUAUGACAACAGAUGUAGAUAAUGUACUUCAUGAUGGAACUGCUUGAUACAGAGAGAAACAUGUUGUAACUGCCUUCACCAUGAAAGGGGUUUAAAAAUGCUGCCUGCCAACUCCACAAAAACCAGAGCUGCUAUUUCGGUUAAAGGCCAGUGGAUUGUAUUUUUCACGUCAGUUUUCACUAACCUCAAACAUCACUGUUAUGACAGACUGUCAUCCAACCAAACCAGCACUCCGGUGCCAUUCAAGCAAGCAGGAAGAAAGCAAACACAAGGAAACUUAAAAGUCCAAUUAAGGUUGGAACCCAAUUUAUUCAGAAGCUGGGGAGGACCUGAACUGGCUCUAGCAGUUCUGAAAGACAGAAAAAGCAACACAACUUUCCUCUAACAAAACUGGUACAUUCAAGGAGAAGAUGCAGGAAUCAGUCUAAGUUACCACUGAUGAUGAAAUGUCAAACCAUUCUGGCAGGUACUUGUUCAGUCUUAAGGAGCUUUAAAUUACUUCACAGCUUGAGAUUCCAGACAAUCAGGCUACCAGGACCCAUGAUGCUGAUAUGAAAGAGGACUGACUUCAAGGAUGUUGAGAAAGAAGAUAGACAUUUCCAUCUUCAUUGUUCAGGUUCUGCCUUUACAGGGGUUCCUUCAGCUACACAACUAGGUGAGUCCCUUGGCCGCAGCAAGGGAAGGGCAAGAAUGAAUGAUGGUGCCAGAUGCCCCAAGUUAACAGUCAGUGAGCUGAGAAAAGCAUGACUACAGCUAUCUU